UCCAGUGUCAGCUGGGAGUUCUUCCUCUGGGGACUGGGAAUGAUCUGGCCCGUGUUCUCGGUUGGGGUUCAGCCUGUGACGACGACACGCAGCUGCCUCAGAUACUCGAGAAACUGGAAAGAGCCAGUACCAAGAUGCUAGACAGGUACCAGAUGUGAGACAGGUACCAAGAUGCUAGACAGGUACCAGAUGUGAGACAGGUACCAAGGUGUGAGACAGGUACCAAGAUGCUAGACAGGUACCAGAUGUGAGACAGGUACCAAGAUGCUAGACAGGUACCCAGAUGUGAGACAGGUACCAAGAUGCUAGACAGGUACCAGAUGUGAGACAGGUACCACGAUGCUAGACAUGUACCAGAUGCUAGACAGGUACCAAGAUGCGAGACAGGUACCAAGAUGUGAGACAGGUACCACGAUGCUAGACAUGUACCAAGAUGCGAGACAGGUACCAAGAUGCGAGACAGGUACCAAGAUGUGAGACAGGUACCAAGAUGUGAG
ensembl:lncRNA